UGUCAAACUUCGGCGUGCGCAGGAAUUGCCUGGGGGUCUGCUGAAAUGCAGACUCUCAUUCGGUGGCUGUGGGCUGGAGCCUGAGGGUCUGCCUCUCCAGGAGGCUCUGUGGAGAUACUGAUGCUGUGGUCUGCGGACCACAAUUUGAGUACACAGUGCCCCUCUGACUGGCCCCUGCAAAGGACCAUUGCUGUAGGUAAGCUCCCGGCUACAGCAUGAGAUAACUCAAGUGAAAACCAGCAUGAGCUAUGACAUGCCUCUCUCAACCUUCGUCUUCUAAAUUAUUUUAGUUCAUCCUAAUUCCCUUUUAUUAACAUUUCACAGGUUUUACUGUGGCAGCAGGAAAUGGCCUGAGCUGAGUGACAGAGAACACGGAUCGGCUUCAAGGUGACAAAUGCCAGUGCAAAGCAACACCCGAGCGGGGCGGCUGCCUCCAGAGCAGCCAGCAACGUGCUGAGGAACAGGAUGUCUGGUGGUUACUCUUGAUUUGAGGCUGUUUAUAGAUACGGUAUAAUUUUCGAAACAAAAUCUUUUUUAUUUUUAAUUUUCCCAGUUCUUCCUUAUAUUUGAGUACAGGAGAAGGGAAACAAAGUGGCAAAAUCCAAAGUCGGUUUUUGCUGCCUCCAAAAUCCCUCAGCCAGCCACGAGGCAGAAGGACGCAUCUUCUUGGAAAGACUCAUCUGGAUGCUGACCACAGGGCAAAGCCCCCCCAAACAGUAGUCCCCCAUCUUGAAGCCUGGUCAGCUUAUUAAAAGAAUUUACCCAAAGCCUACUCUUCCUACAGUAAGCCUGGGUUCCAUAAGCUGAGGAAGAAACAGAGGAAAAGGAGUCGUUACUGAGAGCCCAGUACGCCACACACAGUUUCACAUCCGCCACGUGGGCAGCCCAUGGGGGACAUUUAAACUGACGGGGGGUGGGUGGUGAUGACGUGGGCUCCGAGAGCUUCAAUAACUUUCUGAGCCUAGGUCUGACGGAGGCCCUCUCCCGGGGCCUGGGAAGCCCUCUUUCCAGCUUAUCCCAGACUGCCUCCCACAGGAGAGGGAGUUCUCACACUCAGAAAAAGAACAGGCCUGCUCUGAUGAGAGGACUGACGUAGGACAGUGGGAUUAAAUGGUCAACAGGCUAAAAAAAUAAAACGUGAAACAAGCCAGGAACCAAUAACUGAAGGUCACACAGACCACAUGUCCUGACGUGGCGUGUUUCACAGGAAAACAAGCCCCUCUCUGCAGUGCUGUACGGAACCACCCUCACCCGUAUCCCCAGGCCGAGGGCGGACAGGAGACGCUCUGCAGUCACUCCUGGCCUGCAAGAGCACCUGUGAUGCGCCCCAGGGCAAAUGCAGGGGCUCUCUAUCCCUGGCUACAAGAAUCAAUGGAAAAUUCCAGAACACUUCCAGAGAGCCUUGCCUCACGCAGACCUGGAAACUGGGGAUCCAGGCAGGGAGCCCUCUUAGAGCUCAUUGCCGUACACUGUAUGCUGCCUUCCUGGGCUUGGGAGAAAGUCGCACAGGUGCAAUACCACGGGACAGAUAAAGAGCCAAACUUUAGAAAACUGGAGUCCGGGAAAGGAGAGAAGAAAAGCAUUUUGUAAAAAAUGAAAUUGUUUCUCUUGAAUGGAGAAUGCAAAGAAAUGAGCAGAAAGCACUGGCGGAGGGAGAAGGGCGACACCACAGUCUCAAGCAAGAACAGGGAGUUCGCAUAAGCCUGGGUGUGUCCUUGCUUCCAUUCCCGCCCACCCACGAUUCCUGGGGCAAACAAAUUCUUGGCUGAGCAGGUAUGUGUGGGAGGCCUGAUUUAUUUUCCAGCCAUUAGAGCUUUGCCCAGAACUACUUAAUCAGAAUUUUUCAAGGUCAUACAUUCAAAUACGAUGUUACAGCCUUACGAAACAAAUAACUCCGUGGGGUAGGAGAGUGGGAAGUGAGAAGAGGGGAAAGAAAAGGAAUUAACCAUCCUCAUUUGAUUUAGCUUCUUACUUUACACCCACCAUAUAUUCUCAGAAAAUCGACAAACAAGAAAAUGAUUGCGUAGCUAAAAGAAAUAAUAGCAAAUUUUAAUAUAAUGCUUAGCUGUAUGGCAGGCACAAUUCUAAAUGCUCUGUAUAUGUUAACUUAUUGGACUCUCAACAAUUCUUUGAGGUGGGUACCAUCAUCAUCAUCAACUCUAUUUGUAGACGCGUAGAGAGGUUAAGCGACUUGCCCAACAAUAAACAGCACCCAGCGGUCUAGGCACCUGCCCGCUGCUCUACGCCCUCUCUGUGCUCUGCUCUCCUGCCCCUCAACAAGGCACAAUCGUAACAAGAGCUCUUCUCCAUUACAGUACGUGUCAUUGCUUUCCCCAUGCAGUAGAGUUUUCUUUAAGCUACUUUCCUGGGAGGAAUAUUCUCAGAGCACAGUCCCCACCUUACAGUAGAGAUAGGAUUGUCCAACCCUGACGCUUGAAAAGCCAUAUAAGCUGGAAAAGUCCCAAGGCUCAAACCACAAUUCUCCUCCCACACUGCCUGAUUAGAAGUAGUUCCAGGCAAAGCUUUGAUCCCUGUUAAAACGUCAAAGCCCUGGGAGGUGUACGCUUUAUGCUGUUACCAGUUUGCAGGGAAAGUUGCCUUGUUACCUUUUUAAAUACGGUUUAAUGAUAAGAACUUGAGGUGGUUUCCAGGCAUCCAAUCCACCUGUCCGGUUCUGACUUGUUCACUGCUGAGUGCCUACAACUCUCCAGGACCUGGCACAUAAACAGGUGCUCAGUGCACCAGCAUGGGGAACAGACAGAUGAACGAAUGGCUGCAAUUCCUACAGAGGCCAGGUUUACGGCACAUUUAUGACGCAGGUAUUAAAGGGGCAGUCAAGUUUGGCAAGGCAUCACUGGGAAGGUCUAAAUGGCAACAAGUAAAUCACUGACGGCAAUAACUUUGAAAGAAGUCUCAGGCUUAUUUAAAUAUAGGAAAACGAUCUCUUUUUUUUUUGAGCUUAUUAAGAAUGGAUUCUAUUUUAAAAUGCAUCCAGAACUAAUUUAUUAAUGAAGAAAGUAAUGGUUAAUGUAGUUUAUCUGCAUUACUUUCCCCUAAGAUUGUACUCUCCCAAAAGGUAAAGCGCCCUAGAACAUAAUUUCUUCUCCCUAAUAGUCUCAUAUCCAACUCUCGUACGUCCUCAAAGGGCUCCCAAAAUGCGUUCUCUUCCAGGAAGCCUUCCUUGAUUUUCUGGCCAGAAGUGGUCACCCCCCGAUUUGUACUCAAAGGUACUUUGUUCUUUCUUUGUGUACACAAACUCACUUUCUGAACUGUAGUAUUUUUCUCAUCUCUAUGACCUAGUUGUCCCCAACUUUAUCUCUGUAUUCCACAGAAAACCAAACAUUUUUCCUAACAUAAAUCAGGCAUCCAGUUAAUAUUAGUCUAAUGUUUUUAAAAAGACUCCUAUGGAAGUGCUCCAAGGAUACCACCACCACUUGUUUCUAAUGUCUAAAUAUAUUUUAGGUAUUUUUAAAAACUAUAUAUUUUUUAAAUGACACCACACUGGUUUCUAUACAAACCUUUCACCCACUGCAGACACUACCUGUGUACCCACUGCAGAUACACAGUUCGUGUGCCAACGACCCUGUCUGGGAGAUCUAGACAGCCCCACAGCAAGCUCCUCCGCCACCUCCAUGUGCACUCGUGGACUCCUUGUAAAUGUGACUCUAGUAGGGGAAGCUGUAGCCCUGCCUCAGUCUCACGAAAAAUGCCAGUGAGCACAGACUGCUCACAUGAAGUUGUUCAAGUAAGCACACGAUUACACAACCACACCCAUUAAUGCCAGGCGAGGCUCAGGGGCAUCUGUAUGGCCUUGCUUUCAUCACAGUAAAAAGUUCUUUGUGAUAAUAUCCUACUUGAGAGCAGGUAAAUAUUUAUUCUGAGAAUUAGAUGUUUCCUGUAUGACUUUAGAUUUAUGAUAAGGAAUGUGAGCAAUUGUUUCCCAAGGUUUAGUUACAGGGUUACAGUGUUGCAACAAAUAUUCCCUACCUUAGAUUGGUUGAAUUGAAAAACAUCCCGGGAUUCCAAGGCAAGUUAUUUAAAAACAAAAUAGAAACAAAAAACCCCUGUUAUAAUUCGCAAGUAAUUACCUGUAAGAAUAGAUUUUGUAAAUAUUCUGCAUUUAAAGCAAAGUAUACAAUUUUAUUAAACACAGAAGCUGAUAUUUGAAUACAGCUAUUAUACAGUUAUUAUCAACACUUGAUUUAAAAUUCUUUCCUACCAGCCUCAUUGUUCUUACUGACUCUUCAGUAAAGAUUAUAAAUGUAAACUUCAAACAAUGUAGACUAGCAAAAUGUCACUUUACCUGUUUGUUAUAGUAGAGUUUCAUAUAAGAUUUCAUUUGAAUAAAGGAUUCCUUGCCCCGCACAAAAGUCUGAAAACUUCUGUUAAUGUUUCUCAAAUACCAGUCCUCAGAGGGGCUACAGUAGAGACCAGGAUGAGGUGUUUCUUUUUUUUUUUAAAGCUUGGCACCUAAGCUAACAACUGUUGCCAAUCUUUUCUUUUUUCUGCUUUCUCUCCCCAAAUCCCCCGAGCACAGAGUUCCAUAUUUUAGUUAUGGGUCCUUCUAGUUGUGGCACGUGGGACGCUGCCUCAGCAUGGCCUGACGAGCG
rnacentral:lncRNA from 1 species